AACAUGGCUAUGACCCACUGCAUCUGGAUGAGGAUCCUUGGCUCCAUAUACCCAGAAGUGGAAGAGAAACCUGUGUUGGUAGAUGGUUGGAAGAUCUAUCAUUAAAACUAAUUUAUUUCAGUCAUCUCUUUCUUUUUCAAAACGAAAGGACCUUUGGGCAGCAAUGAAGGAAGGAAGGAAGGAAGGUAGGAAGGAAGGAGAAAAAUACAUUAUCCAAGAACUGAAAGUCACCAGAUCACCACAUCCAUGAGAUGCCAGACCCCUCAUUUAUCCUUACUGCUUCCUUGCCCCCUCC